rnacentral:rRNA from 2 species
GCGCUACACUGAUGCAUUCAACAAGCCUAUCCUUGACCGAAGGGUCUGGGUAAUCUUUGAAACUGCAUCGUGAUGGGGAUAGAUUAUUGCAAUUAUUAGUCUUCAACGAGGAAUGCCUAGUAAGCGCAAGUCAUCAGCUUGCGUUGAUUACGUCCCUGCCCUUUGUACACACCGCCCGUCGCUCCUACCGAUUGGGUGUGCUGGUGAAGUGUUCGGAUUGGCAGCUUAGGGUGGCAACACCUCAGGUCUGCCGAGAAGUUCAUUAAACCCUCCCACCUAGAGGAAGGAGAAGUCGUAACAAGGUUUCCGUAGGUGAACCUGCGGAAGGAUCAUUGAAGUAUUGAAUUUGAAUCAAGCGAACCCAUUUGUUCCGUGCCUCUGCUGCCGCACGUCAAUCAGGAUUCCCCUGGUUGUACCUGCAAGCUGGUGCAAGUAUUCUAUUACUUGUAUCAAUGGCGCUCUGGCAUGCUAUCACACCAGUGCCAACCACAGUUAAAUCAAAACUCUGAAGCUUUGAUUGCUAGUAACUGGCAAUCUUAACCAAAAACAACUCUCAACAACGGAUAUCUUGGCUCUCGCAACGAUGAAGAACGCAGCGAAAUGCGAUACGUAGUGUGAAUUGCAGAAUUCCGUGAACCAUCGAAUCUUUGAACGCAUAUUGCGCUCGAGCCCUCGGGCAAGAGCAUGUCUGCCUCAGCGUCGGUUUAUACCCUCACCCCUCCUCCCUCAGGAGAGCUGGCCAACAUUCAGUUGGCCUCAGGGGUGGAUCUGGCUUUCCCAAUUUGUUCACUCCGAUUGGGUUGGCUGAAGCUUAGAGGCUAAGCAAGGACCCGAUAUGGGCUUCAACUGGAUAGGUAGCACCGGCGUCUGCCGACUACACGAAGUUGUGGCUUGUGGACUUUGCUAGAGGCCAAGCAGGAAACAUGCUGUGCAUGUCUUAAACUUUCGACCUGAGCUCAGGCAAGGCUACCCGCUGAACUUAAGCAUAUCAAUAAGCGGAGGAAAAGAAACUAACAAGGAUGCGCUUAGUAACGGCGAGCGAACCGCGCAAAGCCCAACUUGAAAAUCUCCCUUGGAGAAUUGUAGUCUAUAGAAGUACCCUCUGUAACGGGCGCAGCUCAAGUCUCCUGGAAAGGGGCGUCAGAGAGGGUGAGAACCCCGUAAGCUGUCGCUUUGUUACCUCACGAGGUGCUUUCAAAGAGUCGGGUUGCUUGGGAAUGCAGCCCAAAUUUGGUGGUAAAUCC